rnacentral:rRNA from 1 species
AACGCGUGGGUAACCUGCCCUAUACACAUGGAUAACAUACUGAAAAGUUUACUAAUACAUGAUAAUAUAUAUUUACGGCAUCGUAGAUAUAUCAAAGUGUUAGCGGUAUAGGAUGGACCCGCGUCUGAUUAGCUAGUUGGUGAGAUAACUGCCCACCAAGGCGACGAUCAGUAGCCGACCUGAGAGGGUGAUCGGCCACAUUGGAACUGAGACACGGUCCAAACUCCUACGGGAGGCAGCAGCU